GGCAUGUAGCUCAGUGGUAAAUCUAUUGUCCUAGCAGGCACAGGUCCUGGGUUCAAUCCCCAGUGUAAUGCCA
rnacentral:tRNA from 1 species